rnacentral:rRNA from 1 species
UGUAAGCGUAUACCAAAGUUGUUGCAGUUAAAACGCUCGUAGUCGGAAUUUGGCAGUUCCGGAUGUGUGCACGUCGUGUGCGCACUUCGCGGGGAUUGCUUUUGUGGUCUUGCGUCGGAUGAGGCACUUUUAUUAGUGAACGUCCUCACGCAACCACUUUUUACUGUGAGAAAAUCAGAGUGCUCAAAGCAGGCAUUUGCCGUGAAUGUAUUAGCAUGGAAUAAUAGAAUAGGACUUGGUUCUAUUUUGUUGGUUUGUUGGGACUGAGUAAUGAUUAAGAGGGACAGUUGGGGGCAUUUGUAUUUCGGUGCUAGAGGUGAAAUUCUUAGAUUACCGAAAGACAAACUGCUGCGAAAGCGUCUGCCAAGGAUGUUUUCAUUGA